rnacentral:rRNA from 1 species
AUUGAACGCUGGCGGCAGGCCUAACACAUGCAAGUCGAGCGGAUGAAGGGAGCUUGCUCCUGGAUUCAGCGGCGGACGGGUGAGUAAUGCCUAGGAAUCUGCCUGGUAGUGGGGGAUAACGUCCGGAAACGGGCGCUAAUACCGCAUACGUCCUGAGGGAGAAAGUGGGGGAUCUUCGGACCUCACGCUAUCAGAUGAGCCUAGGUCGGAUUAGCUAGUUGGUGGGGUAAAGGCCUACCAAGGCGACGAUCCGUAACUGGUCUGAGAGGAUGAUCAGUCACACUGGAACUGAGACACGGUCCAGACUCCUACGGGAGGCAGCAGUGGGGAAUAUUGGACAAUGGGCGAAAGCCUGAUCCAGCCAUGCCGCGUGUGUGAAGAAGGUCUUCGGAUUGUAAAGCACUUUAAGUUGGGAGGAAGGGCAGUAAGUAAAUACCUUGCUGUUUUGACGUUACCAACAGAAUAAGCACCGGCUAACUUCGU